rnacentral:rRNA from 1 species
AGAUUGAACGCUGGCGGCAGGCCUAACACAUGCAAGUCGAGCGGUAGAGAGGUGCUUGCAUCUCUUGAGAGCGGCGGACGGGUGAGUAAUGCCUAGGAAUCUGCCUAGUGGUGGGGGAUAACGUUCGGAAACGGACGCUAAUACCGCAUACGUCCUACGGGAGAAAGCGGGGGACCUUCGGGCCUCGCGCCAUUAGAUGAGCCUAGGUCGGAUUAGCUAGUUGGUGAGGUAAUGGCUCACCGAAGGCGACGAUCCGUAACUGGUCUGGAGAGGAUGAGUCAGUCACACUGGAACUGAGACACGGUCCAGACUCCGUACGGGAGGCUAGCGAGGUAGGGGAAUUAGUUAGGACAAGUGGGACAAAGCCUAGAUCCAGCCAUCGCCGUGUCGUAGU